UACGUAGGGUGCAAGCGUUAAUCGGAAUUACUGGGCGUAAAGCGUGCGCAGGCGGUGAUGUAAGACAGAUGUGAAAGCCCCGGGCUUAACCUGGGAAUGGCCAUGGAAACUGGCGAACUGGAGUGUGGCAGAGGGGGGUGGAAUUCCGCGUGUAGCAGUGAAAUGCGUAGAGAUGCGGAGGAACACCGAUGGCGAAGGCAGCCCCCUGGGCUAGCACUGACGCUCAGGCACGAAAGCGUGGGGAGCAAACAGG
rnacentral:rRNA from 1 species